rnacentral:lncRNA from 1 species
ACAAUUGAGUGAAAUAUGGGAAGAAACCUUCUCCUCACACCUACCCUUUCUUCAUUCUCUUCUGCUCUGCAGGGGCUUCCACCGGCACCCUUAGAUUUUCCUUUUUCAUUCCUUAGAUGGAGGCAGCGUUAAUUUAGGAUGCAAAGCAUCUGCAGAGGAAAAGAUUUAUGCCUCCACUGCUCACACAUGAUGGUCCUGAUCCAGAGAGGAACCUCUCAUGCUUGCUUCUAAGUUAAAAAUCAAGGGAGACUCAGUUGCUCAGAGAAUCUUUUGGGGCUAAUCCAAUUGUUAAUCCCAGAUGAGUCAGACCCAUGUAAAUCCCACUGAUUCCGUGGCUGAACUCAAGUAACAAGUUACAACUAGAGUAGACCUAUUGAAUCAGUGGAAUUUACAGAGGAGCUGGCUCAGCAAUUUCCCACUGAUUCAGUGAGCCUACUCUAUUUGUGAUUUUUCCUGGAUUUCAGCUAUUGCAUCUAUGCUGGCUUCAGCAAGCAAUGGGAUUUAGCCCUUAAAAUGUAGUUUAAUUGGUAGAGCACAUGCUUUGUAUCUUUAAUCUCUGAUAUCAAAGGAACACUCAUGAAAUCAUGGAGUGAGCCAUUGCCUACCAGUGUGAGCAAUACUGAGCUGGAUUGGGAAAUGGUCUGCCUCUGUCUGUCCCAAAUGGACCCACCAGCCAGUUUCCAAUUAAGAACACAUAAAACAAUGAAGCACAGGAGAAACCUCAACAGCAGCUCAACAGAACGAAAUGGAGCAGUAAACGAUGAAGCCAUGAAGAGCCAGGUAUUUGUCAAAGCCUUAUUAAAAGGAAAUCUGUUAAUGCGGAACAAGUUAGAAAUAAAACCUGUAACAAGAGGUGGUGCUGGGAUUCGGUGCCCUUCAUCAUCAGGUUUGGUGACUUAUUCAAUAACAUCCAACAAGUUUGAAAACUGGCUAUGGUUCCCAAGACCGGCAUUGCAGGAGAACCCAGGCAAACUUUGGAUAAAUGGAAGGGCUCAUCAGUAAUUACACAAAAGUGUUGCACUUUCUCUAUGGAGCAAGAAAUUUCAGCCCCUGAAACCUGCUGUACCUUUAAGAAGGUCACCUGUGAACCUUUGUAGGGCAGAGGACUUGAUGCAUGAGUUCCACAAAGACAAGACUCAAACAUUAACCAAGCUGGCUAUAAAUGGCUAUUGGGCUGUCCCUUAAGUAAGGAGGCAAGCAGGAGUAGGCUGACCAAGGUAUUCUGUGCUGGGUGGGACAGUGCCCAAUUUGCCCUAAUGGACCAGCCCUCAUGUGAUCUGGCUUGACAGUAAAGAAAAGAAAGAAGCCUUGUGUUCCUGCUUGUGAAAACAAGAAUAUGGUUAAUAAAUACCCAUUUAUUCAAUGAGAGCA